AAUUGAGCUAUUUCUGUUUGAUUUGUUAGGAGAUAUGUUUUGUCCGUUUACAAGUUAACAUUGCUUGUGUUAUUCUUGGCAAGUAAUCAUUUCUUAUAUAAAUUUUUGUACACUUUAGGCUUAUCUUUUUUAAAUUUUAGGUAGCGUGUGGAGAUUUCAUCUUAUGUUCAUGAGCGCACAACGUUUAAAAUCAUAAGAAAUGUUUUCUGGUGGUGUGUAGCAGUUAACCGCAUUUAAGUAAAAAUAUUUUAAAUAAUUGUUACCAGAGCUGAAUUACAUUCAGGCUUGUGGAGAACAGCUUUUUUUUUAUCUACUCUGUGGCUGGCCAAUGUAAAUAAGCAAUGAUUUCAUGAAUGCAGCGAGAGAGUUUAUUUGAUGUAUUUUAAAAUCACUGAUAAUAUUUAUUGAUGUAUUUUAAAAUCACUGAUAAUAUUUAUUGAUGUAUUUUAAAAUUACUGAUAAUAUUUGUUUUGUGGCUGGAAGAUGGUAACCAUGGUGACUUGUGAAUUUUUAUGAAGAUUAAUAAAAAGCAGUAAAAAUUAUUAA